CGGUCUCAAAAAAGCCAUUAAACUGCAUAAUGAUCAUAGUUAAUAAUAACACAGAAUGUAAGCUUACAAUAAAACUGUAUUUCCAAAUUUGAAAAAACUUUUAAUUGAAAACUUAUAAGAUGUAUCUUUCCAACAUAAUACUCAUGUAAACGGUUUUGUCAUUUUUUUCAGAUUCAAAGGUGAAUGCCUGGUAGCACAAUAUGGAAAAGUCAGCUGUGGAGGAAUGAACUGUUGAAAAUGUAGUGGAGUGGAUUUCUGGCUUAGGUCUGGGCAACUUCACGGCAACAUUUACAGGUGAAGAAAUAGAUGGUGAGACUCUUUUAGGUCUGACAGAACAUAUGAUUGGAAAAAUCUUCCGAACUAUGAAGGACCAAGUCAAAUUUUUAAAGGCUCUCGAGAACCUUAAAAGAACAAAAGCAAAUGAGCAUAUUGUUUCAGAGAAGGUGCUACCAGUAGAAUGCAGAGAAGUGCCACAAACCUCAACAAGUGUUCAUGUUUGGACCGCAUGUUAUACAUUGCCUAUAUUUCCUCCAGUUGUACAGAUGGCCCUUGAUAGAAAGGACAUUGGUUUCAAAUCAAAAGACAAAUCUGCCCUUCGUGCAGCUCUAAUACAGACUCUGUUUGAUGACCUCAGCAAAUAUACGCUGUAUCCAGACCACAUAAUGUACAGUACUGUGCUAAGUACUUUGUGCUGUAAGUACAGAUUUCUAAGGGAUGACAGCCAAACUGGAUAUGCUACUCUACUUGAAAUACUGAGAAAUAAAUUCAAAAAAGAGAGAAAGACACUUAUUUCAGUGGAGACUGUAGAAGACAUGAAAAAAAAGUUUGGUGCUGUGGGUCGAGGAAGGAAGCGUGCACCAGAGCAACAGC